rnacentral:rRNA from 1 species
GAUGAACGCUAGCGGCAGGCUUAAUACAUGCAAGUCGUGGGGCAGCAUGAAUGUAGCAAUACAUUUGAUGGCGACCGGCAAACGGGUGCGGAACACGUACACAACCUUCCUAUAAGUGGGGAAUAGCCCAGAGAAAUUUGGAUUAAUACCCCGUAACAUAACGAUGUGGCAUCACAUUGUUAUUAUAGCUUCGGCGCUUAUUGAUGGGUGUGCGGCUGAUUAGAUAGUUGGCGGGGUAACGGCCCACCAAGUCUACGGUCAGUAGCUGAUGUGAGAGCAUGAUCAGCCACACGGGCACUGAGACACGGGCCCGACUCCUACGGGAGGCAGCAGUAGGGAAUAUUGGUCAAUGGACGCAAGUCUGAACCAGCCAUGCCGCGUGAAGGAUUAAGGUCCUCUGGAUUGUAAACUUCUUUUAUCUGGGACGAAAAAAGGCUUUUCUAAGUCACUUGACGGUACCAGAUGAAUAAGCACCGGCUAACUCCGUGCCAGCCGCCGCAGUAACAC